GUUUCAUGCACACACACACAUGCACACACACACACACACACGCACACGCACACACACAAACUUCCCAGAGCUCAGCCAUUUCCAGUCGGACACCUUUAUUAUAUUCUCCUAUAGUGCCCUAGUGGCUGAGUUACAUUAUGACUCGGGCGGGGAUUACGGGAAUGGAUGGUGAGGGGUAUGCAGCUGCUCGAUUUUCUAGAGAGAGAGAAAGAGAGAGUGAACUAUCGUUUUUUUGUGGCUCAAAUUGUUGGUAUUCCACUCACAAGUACACCCUCAACAGGUUCACUAUCACCACUGGUUACUGAACAAGACAAAUGAGAUGAUGCUUGAGAUCGAGUGCAGGGCACUGUCUGAGUCAUGUAUUCAGGUGGAAUCUGGUCCCGCUCUAUUCGGAUUAGCGAAGAUCUACUACAGGGGGACCAGACAGCAUCACGCGAGCACAAAUAUUUCUGCUGAGUCAGGCAAGUUUUUUACGUUGAGUUCAAUGUGAAAUUUGUCAACUAAAUUACUCAUUAUAGGCCACACCAAAUUGAUCUUAUGUUUCACGGACUUUUAAUCUCCAAAAACAGACCAGGGUGGCAGGAAAAAAAUUGAUGAAUAUCAUUAUAAAACCACAAACAGAGUCACAACACACCACAAAAAGUCACUUUAGCGCAAAACAUUACAACAUUUUGCUAGAUCACAUGGCUAUUCUGACCUCUGACAUGACCACUAAUUGGUUAAUUUUUUGGGGCAUUCUGCAAAAAUAUGACCCGAAAAUCUGUGAAACAUAAGAUUAAUUUGGUGUGGCCUUAUAGUUCCUCAAACUUCUAGGGAGUGUAUAGCUUCCCAGUACUAUAUAUAGAAGUACCUUGCCCAGACCGGCUGUGAUGCUGCACAAGCUGAUCAUGAGAGUUAUCGACAGUAGAAUCUUCUUAGCUCAUGCAGUCUGUGUGACCAGUAUCGUAGCGCACAAACCUUGCUUACAAUCUCAAGGAUAGCUUCAACUGUGGUACAGGGGCUUGCAAAACCUCCUUUCUAUAAACCGAUUUCCCCCAUUUUAACAUGACACACUUUAACACUCCUAAGACUAUUGGACAGUUUGGAAUGAGACUAAGAAUUUAAGUAACAGUUCAUCUUUGUCCGACCCCCCCCCGGCCCCGUAGCUAUAUAAAGUAACGAUUUAAACUGCAGAAAAACUACUAUGCAAACAGUUUGGCCUCGAAUUCGAAUUCUUGCCUAUAAUUUAUAAUUAUAGCGCAAAGUAAAACAAUAAACAUAAUGACAGAGAGCCAACAAUUGAAAUGAGGAUGUACAUGACACUCAAACUCACUAGUGCAUUGGACGCUUUGUUUUCUACAUUCUCUUCCUUUUCAGACAUUGUUCUGAAGUGCUCAAACAAUUGUUUCUGGUUAUACAGAUGAUAAAGAUGAUUGCCAAAAGAAAUAUUACAGAACGAUAGUCACGAUGUUACCAAAAAGGCCAUUGCCAUUUUUGCCUUUUUGUAGUCGAGUUAUCAAAUUUCUCCCUUUUCGCACAUAUCCAAAAGGCGAGCGUUCACUAAUCAACUUUUUUUCAUCGCCGGCUCUAUAAUGCAAAAAGCAAAUUUAAGAAAUUAGCAUCACAAUAAUUAUUAUAAUACUCAUCUAUGAUUUACUCAUUUGGUUCUUAUUACAACUAUUCCACUUAUUAAACUGUGUUCUAGAUGUUCGAAUUAAAUUCUUGGUCCAUUUUCGUGCACUCAUUUCACAUUCUCAUUCACAACCCUCAUCACGCUUCUGCUGUCAUGAUAUUCUAUGCAAUUAUUGUUGUUGUGUUCGUUGUUGCAUAUAGGACUACGUAUGUAUAACAACCUUGUUUACUGUUACAAGAGAUGUUCAAAAAAGAAAAGGCGCAUGAAAAAAAUCAAGAUGCAAUGUUAUUUACGCACAUUUUUUCGUAUUCAGAUUCCCAAACAUUCUUACUAAUGGUGAUCAAGGUGCUUUAACUAAAAUUAAUGUACAAAUAAGAACAACUAUAUAUAGAGCACUGAAGUGCAAACCCUCGGCGUUAAUUUGAGGUUUAGUGAGCCUACAGUCUCGAGUCAAAGCCUCGUGUACAUCUAGGUUCGAGCUUUUUAGCUUCUAAGCGACGAUGAAACUUUAACAUCAAAAUCUACCUCGUUGUGUUGAGGCUGCAUCCAUGGUACAAACACAUGCAGUGCUAUCACAUCCAGGUGAGUAGACUCAGACAGACAGACAGACUGGCCGCGACUACUAUACUACGUGGCGCCGCGGGUUAAUAAUGGUGAUGGUAAAACGCCAAGCAUGGUUGACAUGGAAUCGACAAAUAGUGCAUGUAGGUGCAAACAUUAGAGUUGGAUAAGUGGAAAGGCCUGAAGAAAAGCAAGUCGAAACGCCAAAUGAGCACACUUCUUUGAUAAAAAAUCGAAUUCUCAACAUUCUACUGGUUGUGAUCAAGCGGAAGGUACAACAAGCAGGAACAAUAGUGGUAUAUUGGUGAUUUGACAAGCCCGGUUACAGAUAUUGCAGAUCAGAGCGCUACCGGUAGUAACUAUAUAAAAACCUCAGCGCAUGCAAGCAAACUCUUUAUGAGGGUGUUCUACAGGUGUUCGGUGUGGUUCGACCCACUGUUGCCAUGAUAAUGAGUAAUGUUCAUGGUUCCUCUGUUAGCAUAAUUAUGAUAUCCACAUGUAUAUAAUAUAAAAUUAUACAUAAUUAUGUAUAAUUAUGUGGCCAAGCAAAUUGAUUCUUAACAGCUUGUUACGACAUGCAGUAGCAUUUUUUUGCAGUGUAGUAUUGUCGUUUAUUUUUGGAAAAUGUUCAUGGCGCUUGCAUGUACUAUGGUUGAGGCUUGAUGUAGUUGUUGUCACAUGCAUUAUUCAUGGCAUGAACUUCGAUUUGCUGUGUACUUGUCCAAUCUUUAAUUUUGUAGUGUGCAUAGGAAUGCAUGCAUGCAUAUACCAUAGUCAACUUAUAAUAACGCUCUUAAAAUAACAUGGCCACAAAUCAGUUGACAAUUCAUUUUUAAUGGCAUGCACGUGCUGUUUAGCCUAUACCCACCCAUACAGUGUGUAUUCACGGGAUGUUAGUUUGGUGUUAUAUCCAUGAAUGAUUGUAUAUAUUUUACCAUGGAAAUGGUGUGAUUUGAACAUGCAACUAUAAUGCUCACAAAGAAAUUAGCCAGGCUGAGUGUUAAGAUAAUCUAUAAUCUUCUAUAGACUAAAGCCAAUAUGAGAUAUUUAGCUAACGUGAUUUUUGUCAUCAGUCUUGCUUCAUAUGCGAAUUCCCUACCUCUUGGAAAUGCUACAGAUGGUGCGGGUGUAGCAAAUACAUUUGGCUGCGAGCCAGGAGAAAUUAAGUGCUCGAAAUGCUUUCAUGUGCUCGUUAACGAAAUUAUAUCAAGUGAUCGAAAUCGAUACAACUUGCAGCGUGCCUUCUUCCCAUCCGAUACAUCAAACCCAGUUUUUAUUGCAGUGACAUACUACUUUACAAGAAACAUGUCUGGAAAUGGCUCCACUGAUUAUUCUCUAACCUCUCCCAACCAAACCUGGUUUUGGACUCAGUCCACUUUCUACUUGUUCCAACCAGUUGAAUCUCUCCAAUAUACAUCUCUCCUGUUUUCUGAUCCAUCCCUACGCGAGUCAAAUGUUUCCUUGUAUCUCGAACCGAAUUGUAUGGAAACUGAUCCCGAUAUGCUCAAGCUUCUCACCCAAAGGCUAAAACUCUAUGCCAUGGAACAAAAAGUUUCUGCCCGUAUUUCUGAUGUGUACGAUGCAAAAGGAGAGAGUCGCAAAACACUGGAAACCUUCUAUAAAGGACAAAAUCCGCUAGUCAUCCAGGGGAAACAUUUAACAAGAUAUACGAUAAGUUUUCAUGUAGUUUUUCCAGUAUUAGUAAUCGUAUUUUUAGGAUUUUUGUUCCAUCACUUAAUUGAGAACUACAAAAUAAAUUUUUUUCACCAUUUUCGAGUAAAAUUUGGUAGCACUGGUGACGAUAAUACAAAUAAGGCAAAUGACGAUAAUGCAGAUGACGAAAGAAAAUGGAAGCCAAACAUUUCCUCAAAAAAUUUGUACAUUUAUAUCGCUGUAUUUGGUUCUUUGACCUUUAUCGUAUAUGUACUUGUCUUAGAUUGCUUGGCUGUGGGUUAUAGAAAUACAAGAGAGCUUGGAGACAUUUUCUUCAAGCAAACGACACGUGAUCAGUUUAACAAUGAAAGUGUAUUCUAUUUCGAAGCUGAGUACGCAAUCCCACACAUAAUGUUUGCCUAUGAUAUGUUCAUCUGUCUAGCAGUUCUUUUUGGGCUAACCUGUGUCUGCUGUGGAUUGAAAAAGAGUUGGUACUAUGUUCUGCUUGGACCUUGUUCCUGUGUUGUUGUUCAUUCUUACCAUAUUCUUGUCGGCUACAUACACGCUCCUCAUCAUGCUUCUGCCAUUCUCAUAUUUUACGCAAUUUCUGUUCUUGUAUUUGUUGUGACAUACCGAACUGCGUACUACAAUAUUGUGCAAUGUGCUAAGUGUUGUAAAAAAGGUGAUGCUAUGUGCUGUGACUGUUGGAAAAAAAGGUUUAAUAGUGUAGACAAAGAUUCUGGUGGCAACUGUUGUAUCAGUAGAAAGUUUACUUAUUGGGAAGCUGGUUUUGGUAAAUCUCUGAUACACAAUUGUUUAUUGUGUAUGUUGGUGGUGUUAUCGUUAAUUAUAGCUGGAAUUUUGGUGUAUGUGGUGAUUCUUUUUCUCAUUGUUCCUAUCAACCUUGCUAUUGAUGAAGCUCCCACUCGACUGCUAAACAUCAAUCAGAUGAUUCUCGUGUUUACUACUCUUGCAAUUACUUACAAACUCUAUCGAAAUAAGAGCAACGGAACAAUCCUGGACCAACUGGUGAAAGCCAAUACGAAAAAACUGAAAGAAGCUGCUGCUGCCGGAGAGUAUGAAACAUGGCAGAAUAAGUCUGAUAAACAGAUUGAAAUGGCAGAACUACUUCUUGAUGCUUUACAAGCAAUUAAGAAAUAGGAGAGAGAAGGAUUAUCGUGUAUUGUGACUGCGAAACCAUUGAAUUAGUUUAUAGAGUAGUGAAUAAUUUUUAUAGAUCUCCUAAUUUUUGUAGCAUAGCCAAGUCUCUUGUACGAGUGCUCAAUUUUUGAAACUGUACAGGUAAAUAUUAAAGUGUUUAUGAGGUGUUUCAUUAGACCUAUACCCAAA